AAUUCCGCGAAUCAUCGAGUCUUUGAACGCAAGUUGCGCCCGAGGCUUGUCCAAGGGCAUUUCCGCUAGAGCGUCACC
rnacentral:rRNA from 4 species